rnacentral:rRNA from 1 species
GAUGAACGCUGGCGGCGUGCCUAAUACAUGCAAGUCGAGCGAACAGAUAAGGAGCUUGCUCCUUUGACGUUAGCGGCGGACGGGUGAGUAACACGUGGGUAACCUACCUAUAAGACUGGAAUAACUCCGGGAAACCGGGGCUAAUGCCGGAUAACAUUUAGAACCGCAUGGUUCUAAAGUGAAAGAUGGUUUUGCUAUCACUUAUAGAUGGACCCGCGCCGUAUUAGCUAGUUGGUAAGGUAACGGCUUACCAAGGCAACGAUACGUAGCCGACCUGAGAGGGUGAUCGGCCACACUGGAACUGAGACACGGUCCCGACUCCUACGGGAGGCAGCAGUAGGGAAUCUUCCGGAAUGGGCGAAUGCCUGACGGUGCAACGCCGCGUGAGUGAUGAAGGUCUUCGGAUCGUAAAACUCUGUUAUUAGGAAAGAACAAAUGUGUAAGUAACUGUGCACGUCUUGACGGUACCUAAUCAGAAAGCCACGGCUAACUACGUG